rnacentral:rRNA from 1 species
AUUGAACGCUGGCGGUAUGCCUAACACAUGCAAGUCGAACGGCAGCACAGUAAGCGCUUGCUCUUACGGGUGGCGAGUGGCGGAUGGUUGAGGGGAACAUGGGAAUCUACUUUUUCGAGCGGGGUAACGUAGGGAAACUUACGCCAUUACAGCAUACGACCUACGGGGGGAAGCAGCGGAUCUUCCGCCCUUGCGCGAGCGGAUGAGCCGAUGGCGGAUUAGCUAGUUGGCGGGGUAAAGGCCCACCAAGGCGACGAUCCGUAGCUGGUCUGAGAGGAUGAUCAGCCACACUGGAACUGAGACACGGUCCAGACUCCUACGGGAGGCAGCAGUGGGGAAUAUUGGACAAUGGGCGCAAGCCUGAUCCAGCCAUACCGCGUGUGUGAAGAAGGCCUUCGGGUUGUAAAGCCCUUUUGUUGGGAAAGAAAAGCAGUAUGUUAAUACCCCGCUGUUAUGACGGUACCCAAAGAAUAAGCACCGGCUAACUUCGUG